rnacentral:lncRNA from 1 species
CAGGACUUUCCUCUGUUAGCCGUGCAGGAGACUUUGUUCCAUGAAGCAGUGACACACACAGUAGGUCCACCCACGUGUGGUAACAUGGGGACUGUUGAUGUGAGUUAAAUCUUUUCCACUCAGGAAACAGGCACUGAGUGUCCAAGGUGAAAAUACUGGCGGCUCUGGUCCCACAGUGACAGGUCCUGGUGAGGUCCGGUCCCCAACGUGCGUGCUCUCCGGAGCCCUCCGGAGGAGAUGGGCCAGUACUUCAAGAAGAGUUGAAUCUCCAGGGAAAGCGCUCCUCAGCUCCUGGGAGAUGUAACAGGGAAGAAAGAAUGUGUUCGUCCAGCAAUGGGGAUGAAUGGGGCGUGGAGGGGCGGGACGAGGGCCCUGGGCUGUGACGAGUUGGGGGGGUUGACCCUGUGGGGAGAGAAAGGAAGCUGGCCAAGGCUUUCGGGGGGGGGGGGCGCCCUCCCUCCGGG